rnacentral:SRP_RNA from 1 species
GCUGGGCAUGGUGGCUUACGCCUGUAGUCCUAGCUACUGGGGAAGCUGAGGUAGGAGGAUCGCUUGAGCCCAGGAGUUUGAGGUUGCAGUGAGUUAUGAUUGCAGCAUGGCACUCCAGCCUGGGCAACAGAGUGAGACCCUGUCUCAA